rnacentral:rRNA from 1 species
GGAGAGAAUCCUAAGGCCAACGGGAGAAGGGUUGUUAAGGAACUCGGCAUAUUAACCCCGUAACUUCGGAAGAAGGGGUGCCUGCGCAAGCAGGCCGCAGUGAAAAGGCCCAGGCAACUGUUUAACAAAAACACAGGUCUCUGCAAAACCGAAAGGUGAAGUAUAGGGCUGACGCCUGCCCGGUGCUGGAAGGUCAAGGGGAAUGCUUAGCGCAAGCGAAGGCAUGAACUUAAGCCCCAGUAAACGGCGGCCGUAACUAUAACGGUCCUAAGGUAGCGAAAUUCCUUGUCAGGUAAGUUCUGACCCGCACGAAUGGCGUAAUGACUUGUGCACUGUCUCAACUGCAAAUCCGGCGAAGUUGUAGUGCGAGUGAAGAUGCUCGCUACCCGCGAUUGGACGGAAAGACCCCGUAGAGCUUUACUGUAGCUUAGCAUUGAAUUUCGGUAUUGUCUGUACAGGAUAGGUGGGAGACUGGGAAAUCAGGGCGUCAGCCUUGAUGGAGUCGUUGUUGGGAUACCACCCUGAUAGUAUUGAAAUUCUAACUGGAUGCCAUGAAACUGGUGACAGGACAUUGUUAGGUGGGCAGUUUGACUGGGGCGUCGCUCCUAAAUGUAACGGAGGCGCCCAAAGGUUCCCUCAGAACGGUCGGAAAUCGUUCGUAGAGUGCAAAGGCAGAAGGGAGCCUGACUGCGAGACCUACAAGUCGAGCAGGGACGAAAGUCGGGCUUAGUGAUCCGGUGGUACCUCGUGGGAGGGCCAUCGCUCAACGGAUAAAAGCUACCUCGGGGAUAACAGGCUGAUCUCCCCCAAGAGUCCACAUCGACGGGGAGGUUUGGCACCUCGAUGUCGGCUCGUCGCAUCCUGGGGCUGUAGCAGGUCCCAAGGGUUGGGCUGUUCGCCCAUUAAAGCGGCACGCGAGCUGGGUUCAGAACGUCGUGAGACAGUUCGGUCCCUAUCCGUCGCGGGCGUAGGAAAUUUGAGAGGAGCUGUCCUUAGUACGAGAGGACCGGGAUGGACUGACCUAUGGUGUACCAGUUGUUUCGCCAGAAGCAUAGCUGGGUAGCUAAGUCGGGAAGGGAUAAACGCUGAAAGCAUCUAAGUGUGAAGCCCACCUCAAGAUGAGAUUUCCCAUAGCCAUAAGCUAGUAAGACCCCUUGAAGACUACAAGGUUGAUAGGUCAGAGGUGUAAGUGCGGUAACGUAUUUAGCUGACUGAUACUAAUAGGUCGAGGGCUUGACCA